GCCGGGUUAGCUCAGCUGGUAGAGCGCUUCUCUUGUAAAGAAGAGGUCGUCGGUUCGAGUCCGACACUCGGCUCCA
rnacentral:tRNA from 1 species